CUGCGCUUCCUUCUCAGAUUUUUCUGCUGCAUGUUGCAGGUGUUUGAGGCAUCGACAAGCGACGACAGGGUUCGACAUUGGUUGAGCUAGCUACUGGGGACGCCUCUUUCUCAAUUAUCUCUAUCUCCGUCUCUAUCAUGAUAUUUAGAAGCCAUCUAUUAAUGUCGUCGAUGCCUAAUUCCAAAAUCCCGUCUCGCUCGCUCUCGAUACCCCGUCCCUCUCUAGAGUUACGGGAUGCGCCGCCGCCACCAGCAUGGUCCCAACGGCCACCGUGAGUCUCCCCGGUCGACGUCCCCAUCCGUCUAUGCUCCGAGCUCGACGGUUCCAGUAAGACAAUAGACAAUGGUGACAGUGAGGUGACAUUUCGUAGUGCUGUCGAUGUCAAGUAUGUCGAAAAUUGUUGUCUUUUUAUUUCUCAUUUACUUAUUUAUUUCACAUUUACUUAGCCAACUUAUUUUACUACCUGGGGUGUUCUGUAGUUUUGUUUCUAAAACAGAUUGCGUUUUGUUUUGUUCUGGAGUGUUGGUACUGAUGCAUAAAACUACUGCAUCUAAAAUGGCAUGGUAUUAGUAUUUUUAGUUUUAAAAGAAUGCCACUUGCCUUAAGCUCUCAGUAAAUCAAAAUAUGUACUGACGUUAUCUACACUUGAAUAUUGUAUUUUAUCAACACUUGAAUAUGCAUUAUGAUUUAGUGCACAUUCAACAAAUAGUCAAUGGAUCAGUAUUUUCCGGAAACUUUCUAUUCCAUAUGAAGUUAUGUUUUCAGCUUGAUAUAUUAAUAAUAUUUUUACCAUGUUUCUUGUAAAUGUCUAUUUGAGAACUUUGCAGCUAAAUUGGUGCCUGUAUAUUAUAGAAGACACUUGAAAAUGGAUUCAGCAUGGUUCCUGCAGUCCCAACUUUUCAUUGUUGACUUCACGUCAAAAAACAAUUAUUCAUCAUGGGCAGAGUCAUGGUUGUUCGUGACUAUGCAAGAAGAUGAUCGAGGGUCGGCGGCGUCGCUGCUUCGUCGUCAUCUUUGACGAGCACCGUCCAACACAAUUUUCCGCUGGCAUGUUCCAUGGAAUGUCACUCUUUCAUCAUGGCAUCCAACACUUGCAGAUGUGACUUAAAAGGGGGUUCUGAAGCUGAUGAACUUGGAUGGCCUGACAGUCUAACAUACCAACAACCAUCUCCAAAUACACGAACUUGAAGAAUUUCUUAGUUUCAUACACACCUUCAGGAGAAAUUUGGAUCUUUUUGGACAGUUAUUCCAGCCAACUUUCUGAAUGAGUAUAAAAACAACACUAUGAGUACAAAGAGGAGAUAAAAGGAGUAUUGGAAAGCUUAAAACCAGCCCCCCGAAACCACUCUGGCUCGAGAAAGAAGAAAAUAUUUCACAUGAUCUGUCCGAUCUACUACAGGUAAUUUGGUCUUCUCUUGUGCACAACCAUCACAACCAAGCCGGGGAGUGCCAGAGGUCACAACUUGAAAUUUUUAACUGCAAUAUUUGUUGGUCAGUGUCCUCCUCUAAAAUUGUUCGUAAGGUAAUGCUUUAUUCUGUAUAGCAUCCUUGGAAGAUUGUGUGGUGUGAUGCUUUAUUUAUAAAGCGGGGCGUAGAGCCCUUUUCGUUAUUCUGUAGAGCAAAGAGAAAGAGCCUCAGUUUGGUAUAGCAAUGGAGUGAUCCUUCGUUGGAAGAAACAUUGGUGUGAAACAGAUAGACUUACUGUUUUUUUAUACUAGCAUAGUGUUGGUUGUUAAUUUUAAGUGUACCAUCAGUUUUUUCAACCAAUGAAGUUAUGCUCACGACAUGGAGAACUUCAAGGACAACCUGCCUGAACAGUUUCUACCUGAUUAGUGAACUAGGCCAUUUACUAUACAGAUAGUUAUUUUUGUUGCAAGUUACGCCCGUUGCUUCUAAAUACUGCACUUUUGGUUGCAUUUUGCAACUAAGAAUAAUAAGCAGACGCUAAAACAUUCGAGCAAUGCCCAAGGUUAGUACAGGAAGCAUAGUAGUUUGCUUUCGUAGAAAUUAUAUUCCUUUUUUCCACUACUGUGAACAUGGACGUGAGUAGGUAAUUGCUCCUAAAAGAAACCUAAUUAAUGUAUUGUUGAACCUAAUUUUGAGAUGAUUUUUAUUCUACCAUUAUACAGUGCACAUCAGCAUCGUCUAAAUACAUAUGCCUCUGGGGUUUUCUUUUUGGUGGCAAAUUGAUUCUUGCAAUCAUAGCGGAAAGGUCAGCAGUGAGGCACUUUACACUGAUGAAAUUUGCAUAAGUAUUCCUCUUUGUGAUAAGAUUUCACCAAAAGUUUCAACAUUAAGAUGUUUACUUAGUUAAAUCCUGAACUAAGGCACCCACCCAUACAUGUAUAAGCGCCAGAAAAUAAAACAAUAUGCAAAGAAUUUUUCAGCUUUCGGGCUAUAAGUGUUAGACAUUUUCAUAAGAAAUGCUGAAUGUUAGUAUCAAUUGAAUCAAUUUGACCUACACGCAGCGCAGGUACUGUUAAAUCUGUAGUUGUAAUUUAUUCACCUGUAACUUGAUUUUCUUUUCACUUCUCUUUUUAUAAAGUCAUGUAGUCGGCUAUAAUAAUCAUAUUUUUUUUCUUUUUAGAGAGAAAUUGUGUGUCUGCUCUGGUUUCAGUUUUAACGUCAGCUCGUUACAAUCCGUAACUACUUAUAGACUACUUCAUCCGGAUGGGUUUGCAACUUUGUGUACAGUCUGCUUCAACACUUCUAUUUUCUAUAUGACUUGGAUUAAUAAUCUCCAACAGUAUGGUCAUGCUUUUUAUAUUUACUUUCAGUUCUAAAUACAUUUGUGCUUUUCUCUUUGUUGUACUACUAAACUAUGUGUGCUAAACUAAACAUAAAAAUAUGAUGGGGUGGUGGUUUCAGCCACAGAAAGAAUUGUUUUGGAGAACAAAGGGAAUUUUCGGCGGACGAAGAACUCGCUCCAGAUGCUCCAGUGAUGAUUUUAUAUAGCGUUUUAUCUAAACCUGGGUUCCUUCUUUUAGACUGGGCGGUGCCAUAUGAUGUGAAGCCGGUAUAAUAACUUUUUCAUUUGGCAUCGGUUGUGAGGUGGCAACCUUUUAGACAAUUUGACACCUGUAACACAGUGGAAGACCUCAUACGAGAUGGUUGCCUUCUUGAUAGUUGUUGCGGCUUCUGAAUUAAGUGUACCACUAUGUUUAAAACACCAUGAUCAGAAGCUUUGGUGGGUGUACCGAUUGACUCUUAUUACAUGACUAUUUCUAA